rnacentral:tRNA from 1 species
CGGGGUAUAGCUCAGUGGCAGAGCACUUGCCUCUAAAGCAUGAGACUGGGUUCCACGCCCCAGUGUCACAA